AUACGCCUUUCAGGAAUCACAAAUUACUACGUAUGAUAUUAAUAUGACUUUAGGUGGGCUGAUUGGUAUCUUGGUGUUUGAAUCUCUUCUUGCCAUUUUCAUAAUAUGUUAUUUGUUGGUUGUACUGCCUCCAAGUGAUUCAGAAGACAGCCCUGUGCCAAAGACCGUCUCCAGCACCACCACUGACCCACUCUGUCCUACGGAGCCUGUAGUCUGUAGUACAGAGCCUAAAUCUGGUCCACUUGAGGGGGAGACAGCGAACUGAUCAAAAAGCUUAUAAGCUGUAUUAAUAUAUUUCUCUAACAGUAUUUGCAUGAUUGACAUUAUACAAAAGGCAAUAUUAAGCAGGGAGGUGCAAAACACAGUUGGCUGCUAUCUCUCUUAAAUCUAUUUAUGUUAUGCAUUGUGAUACACAUAUCGUAUGUAUAUGCCUGUAAUGCCUAACAUGAAGGGCAAAAGAAAAAGAAGAAGAAAUAACCCAGUCAAAUUGGCCGAUUUUCUGUUUACUACGCAUGCUAUGACUCCAAAAAGUGCUUACUGCACAGACCCAGGCUCCAAUUUUGCCAAUAUGGCUGACCAAUUUUGGCUUAAUUUCUUCAGAACGCACGUGCAUGACCCCAAACUGGCCAUCCUUUUUACAGUCAUCGGUUAAAACCAGUGAGACUGUAGAGAUUUUGUGUCAUUUUUUCUCACAUUGGCAGUUGGACUGA
ensembl:lncRNA